AUGUUCGUGUUUUCCCGGAACCUCAUCCACUCUACGCACUUCCACUCAGCCACAAAUACUUACCUUCAGCUCUAUUCCCCGCAGUUCCUGUGCCAUCCUCUCCUGCUGCUCACCGUCAUCAUCCGGAUUCCUCACCACCUCACCACCAUCUUGGAUUGUUGUCUUCCCAGCAUCAUUGUCUUUUUCCUGUUUGUUUAUUUAUUUUCAUUGAAUCGUCUAACUCGCUAUUGUUUCCAGUCCGUCCUUCACCCCACCGUCACACUACGUCCACCACCCGAUCAAGCUGGUCUUGAACAUCUGAAGCAAUCUUCGCAAGAGCAUAGAUAGUUAUCCGUCGGAGAUUUUCACCAUCAGCUUCAUUUAAUCCAUGCAAUUUGAGGGACCAUCGUCAAGUGUAACGUUGAGCCUCUGCUAUAUUAGACUUCAAAGUCACAUUUUCAUCCUUUAAAGCUUGCAUUUCUUUCUCCAUCAGGGAUAACCAUUCGUCGUGAGAGUUAACUUCGACGAUGAGCUGUUGCACAGAAGUUGCUAAACUGUCCACCUUGGCCGAAGUGAGCUCUGUAGUUUUCUUAAUCGACAAAACUUUUAAAUGCAUUUUAUUGAGUUUCAAGCCAAGUGCAUGAAUAGCUUCAAGCACUUCUGAAGUGUUCUCAGAAUCAGGUUUCGCACUGACUCGAUUACUUUUUUUUGGCUGGAGAAUCAGUUUUUUGGGGUGUUUCAGGCAGACUAGGGAAAUCGGCCAGGCAACAGGGUUCCAUAACGGACUCAUGAGCAAGUUCCAUCUCGUUAGCAUCAACGUUGCAAGGAGAGGAGUGUUUCCUACUUCUUCUUUUGCUGUCUCUUUAUGCCAUUAAGAUCUAAGCGGUAUCUUCAUAUAAAUAAAGUAAA
ensembl:lncRNA